rnacentral:rRNA from 1 species
GACGAACGCUGGCGGCGUGCCUAAUACAUGCAAGUCGAGCGGAUCGAUGGGAGCUUGCUCCCUGAGAUCAGCGGCGGACGGGUGAGUAACACGUGGGUAACCUGCCUGUAAGACUGGGAUAACUCCGGGAAACCGGGGCUAAUACCGGAUAACACCUACCCCCGCAUGGGGGAGGGUUGAAAGGUGGCUUCGGCUAUCACUUACAGAUGGACCCGCGGCGCAUUAGCUAGUUGGUGAGGUAACGGCUCACCAAGGCGACGAUGCGUAGCCGACCUGAGAGGGUGAUCGGCCACACUGGGACUGAGACACGGCCCAGACUCCUACGGGGAGCAGCAGUAGGGAAUCUUCCGCAAUGGACGAAAGUCUGACGGAGCAACGCCGCGUGAGUGAAGAAGGUUUUCGGAUCGUAAAACUCUGUUGUUAGGGAAGAACAAGUGCCGUUCAAUAGGGCGCACCUUGACGGUACUAACC